rnacentral:rRNA from 1 species
CACGUAGGAACCGAGCGUUAUCCGAAUUUACUGGGCGUAAAGCGCGUGUAGGUGGCUCGAUAAGUUGGGUGUGAAAGCUCCUGGCUCAACUGGGAGAGGCCGCUCAAUACUGUCGGGCUUGAGAACGGUAGAGGGAGGUGGAAUUCCCGGUGUAGUGGUGAAAUGCGUAGAUAUCGGGAGGAACACCAGUGGCGAAGGCGGCCUCCUGGACCGUUUCUGACACUGAGACGCGAAAGCUAGGGGAGCGAACGGG